GACGAACGCUGGCGGCGUGCUUAACACAUGCAAGUCGAACGGAAAGGCCCUGCUUGCAGGGUACUCGAGUGGCGAACGGGUGAGUAACACGUGGGUGAUCUGCCCUGCACUUCGGGAUAAGCCUGGGAAACUGGGUCUAAUACCGGAUAGGAGCUAUUCUUAGUGUGAUGGUUGGAAAGCUUUUUCGGUGUAGUGUGAGCUCGCGGCCUAUCAGCUUGUUGGUGGGGUAAUGUCCUACCAAGGCGGCGACGGGUAGCCGGCCUGAGAGGGUGGCCGGCCACAGUGGGACUGAGAUAGGGCCCAGACUCCUACGGGAGGCAGGAGUGAGGAAUAUUGCACAAGGGGCGCAAGCCUGAUGCAGCGACGCCGCGUGGGGGAUGACGGCCUUCGGGUUGUAAACUCCUUUCGCUAGGGACGAAGCUUUUUGUGACGGUACCUAGAUAAGAAGCACCGGCUAACUACGUG
rnacentral:rRNA from 1 species